rnacentral:lncRNA from 1 species
AUGGGCUUGGUACAAGCCGAAUAAUUUGAGACAUCUUAUCCCAGGCAUACCAUCCUUCUAUUGAACAUUUAGUGUGUUAAUAGUGCUGGGGAGACCGAUCAGAAACAAUCAGGAGGGGAAAACUGAAAGCUCGAAUAGGAGGAACUGGAGAGGGUUUCUGGGUGGGACAAAAGCCCUUGAGAGUUCGAAUAGUGCAGAAGAAAGCUGGCUCUGCAGGGUCUCCUGGGGGAGCCAACGGAAACAGCAACUCUUCCUGUGCGGAGGGAUGUCUUAAUCCCAUGAUUCUUAUUUUUUCUCCCAUACAGAAGCUGGUUUGAUUUACUAGCAGAGCCAACAGAAUUGCUGCGCGUGAACUCUGCAGAGACUGAAAGGGAGAGAUGAGCCUUGGAAAGGUCAUCCACCAAAGUGGUCUGCGACAUCAAAAAAUUGAAAAUUAGUGUGUAGCUGCAGCUAAUGGACCUUAAUACAUCUUGAAUUGUCCUACCGGGAGCAGGAAACAGUUGCAGAGGAUGGAUGAGAGCUUUAGGACUCCAUGCUACAAAACUUCAGUUCCAAAGCCAAGAAAUGAAUGUUAACUUUGCAAAUGUGAGCUGCGGAGAACAACAACCAGCCAGGGGGCUGCACCAAGCCAGCCAGCGAUGUCAGGAACAACCAUGAGCAGAGUGAAGAUCCAGUCUGGUCAUGGCGAUGGAGGUUGGGUCAAGUUCUUUACAUUUAGUGCGUUGUCUCCAGGUCUUCCCAGCUCCAGCUGGAAUAGCUGUUAUGUCAUUAGGUGGUGCCAGUCGCGUCAGCAGCCUGGUUUGCUCGUCCGCGUUUGUGUUCUGGCUCAGCUGCCUGCCGACCUCCGUGAUGAACAGCAGACUUUCAGCACAUACAAAUGGCCAGCCGUUAUGCUCCCUUUAAAUGGCUUUCAGAUAAAUACAAAGGGAGGAGAUAAAUGAUUUAACAAUAAAAUAUUUGCCCAUUUUUAAAGUUACCCA